rnacentral:rRNA from 1 species
CUCGUAGGCGGUUUGUCGCGUCGGGAGUGAAAACACGGGGCUUAACCCCGUGCCUGCUUCCGAUACGGGCAGACUAGAGGUAUGCAGGGGAGAACGGAAUUCCUGGUGUAGCGGUGAAAUGCGCAGAUAUCAGGAGGAACACCGGUGGCGAAGGCGGUUCUCUGGGCAUUACCUGACGCUGAGGAGCGAAAGUGUGGGGAGCGAACA